AACCAUACAUGGCUGGGCCUGGGAAAGGCAGAAAGGCAGAUGGAUGGUAUCAGAAGUGGGACCUGCAGUGGGGCAUCUAGCAACCCCCAGGAGCAUUGAGUGACCAGGCUUGGGACCCACCGGGCGCAGGGUGUCCAUUGUUCUCUCGAAGCAACUGAGAAUUGUGGAUAUUCUUCAUUAUUCCAUCAUCAUCUCAAACCUCUUGGGUAUAGUGUUUGACUACUACUGUGACCAUAAAUUCCAAUAAAACCUAGGAAAAAUGAAACCACUACAUUAACUGAAAGGGAAGGAUUUGACAGCUUCUUUUGGGCAUAUCAGAAUCGCCAGCAUCACUACUCUUGCACUGUGCGGCCAUUAUUAAGUGAAAUAAGGAUUACUUGAACACAAGCACUGCAAUGCCGCUACAGUCAAUGUGAUAACCCAGCUGGUGACUAAGUGACCAAGGACGGGGAGUAUCUACAGCGGGGAGACUCUGGAAAAAGGGAGGAUUCACAUCCAGUGCCACUGGGGCAGGGCAGAAUGAGAGUUCAUCAUGCUACAAAGAAUGGCACAGAAUAUACGACUUGUGAGUGGAU
rnacentral:lncRNA from 1 species